UUACGGCCAUAUCACGUUGAAACACCGCUUCUCAUGCGAUUACUGAAGUUAAGUAACGUCGAGCCUGGUCAGUAACUAGAGGGGUGACCGCUCGGGACUACUAGGUGAUGUAAG